AUGUCCAUAAUGAGCAUCAUUCUUGUUCUUCAUCUUCAUCGUAACAAUGGUGCGCACAAGCCAUCAAAAUCCAAUAAGAAGAUCGCAUACGACUCCAAGCCAUGCCAGCUGUUGGACGAGUGCAACCAGAUCCUUAUUGUGGCGGCCGACCCAGCUACAGAGUAUUCGCAAGGGUCUACGUGGCGACUCGGUGGUUCUCAUGGGUAAAAACACCAUGUUGAAGAGGUCUAUCAGGAUCCGUGCCGAGAACACUGGCAACAAUGCCUUCCUCAAUCUCAAUCCUCUCCUUGUCGGCAACGUGGGUCUGAUUUUCACCAAGGGUGAUUUGAAGGAGGUCAGUGAAGAGGUCGCCAAGUACAAGGUUGGGGCUCUUGCUCGUGUUGGGUUGGUAGCACCAAUUGAUGUUGUUGUCCCUCUGGGCAACACCGGUCUGGAUCCAUCGCAGACGUCCUUUUUCCAAGUUUUGAAUAUUCCUACAAAAAUUAAUAAGGGAAUCGUUGAAAUUAUAACACCUGUUGAGUUGAUUAAGAAGGGUGACAAGGUUGGGUCCUCUGAGGCUGCCCUUCUUGCAAAGCUUGACAUAAAGCCAUUCUCUUAUGGCCUUGUUGUUCUUCAAGUUUAUGAUGAUGGGUCUGUCUUCAGCCCUGAAGUCCUUGAUCUUACGGAUGAGGACCUGAUAGAGAAGUUCUUCAUUGGUGUCUCUAUGGUGACGUCACUGUUGCUUGCGAUCUCAUAUCCAACCCUAGCUGCUGCACCACACAUGUUCGCCAAUGCCUACAAGAACGUUCUUGCUGUUGUUGUUGCUACUGAGUAUUUCUUCCAUCAGGCAGAGAAAGUUAAGGAGUAUCUAAAGGAUCCUAGCAAGUUUGCUGUUGCCGCUGGCCCUGUUGCAGCAGCUGCUUCUGGUGGUGCCCCUGCUGCUGCUGCUGCCAAGGAGGAAGAGAAGAAGGAAAAGCCUGCUGAAGAGUCGGAUUAUGACAUGGGUUUUAGUUUAUUUGACUAAAACUUGUGUUAGAGGUUUAUUUCUUGAUGGUUUUACUUUAGAUAUGUUUUGUUUUUUGGAGAAUUUUGAAGUUUAAUAUGCCAUUUUACUUAGACUUGCAAAAUAUUUCCUCCAGUUGAGAGGAAUUAUUAAUUU